rnacentral:rRNA from 1 species
AUUGAACGCUGGCGGCAUGCCUUACACAUGCAAGUCGAACGGCAGCGGACCUUCGGGUGCCGGCGAGUGGCGAACGGGUGAGUAAUAUAUCGGAACGUACCUUUCAGUGGGGGAUAACGUAGCGAAAGUUGCGCUAAUACCGCAUAUUCUGUGAGCAGGAAAGCAGGGGAUCGCAAGACCUUGCGCUGAUUGAGCGGCCGAUAUCAGAUUAGCUAGUUGGUGGGGUAAUGGCCUACCAAGCCGACGAUCCAUAGCUGGUUUGAGAGGAUGAUCAGCCACACUGGGACUGAGACACGGCCCAGACUCCUACGGGAGGCAGCAGUGGGGAAUCUUAGACAAUGGGCGCAAGCCUGAUCUAGCCAUGCCGCGUGAGCGAUGAAGGCCUUAGGGUUGUAAAGCUCUUUCAGUGGGGAAGAACAGAUUCGGGUCAAUACCCCGGAGCCCUGACGUUACCCACAGAAGAAGCACCGGCUAACUCCGU